GAUGAACGCUGGCGGCGUGCCUAAUACAUGCAAGUCGAGCGAACAGAUGAGGAGCUUGCUCCUCUGACGUUAGCGGCGGACGGGUGAGUAACACGUGGAUAACCUACCUAUAAGACUGGGAUAACUUCGGGAAACCGGAGCUAAUACCGGAUAAUAUAUUGAACCGCAUGGUUCAAUAGUGAAAGACGGUUUUGCUGUCACUUAUAGAUGGAUCCGCGCCGCAUUAGCUAGUUGGUAAGGUAACGGCUUACCAAGGCGACGAUGCGUAGCCGACCUGGGAGGGUGAUCGGCCACACUGGAACUGAGACACGGUCCAGACUCCUACGGGAGGCAGCAGUAGGGAAUCUUCCGCAAUGGGCGAAAGCCUGACGGAGCAACGCCGCGUGAGUGAUGAAGGUCUUCGGAUCGUAAAACUCUGUUAUUAGGGAAGAACAAAUGUGUAAGUAACUAUGCACGUCUUGACGGUACCUAAUCAGAAAGCCACGGCUAACUACGUG
rnacentral:rRNA from 1 species